UUACAUAGCAAGAAAAGGAUUGGAUGCAUUUCGUGAACGUCUAAAACACGGGAUUAUGAAUCUCGGCUUAACAAUUCAGGUAAUCUAAAUCUAAUCAUGAAUUGUUGAUGUACUUUCAAACUAUUACAACUUUUUCCCUCCCUAAUAUUUUUUCUUGUUAAAAAAAACAUACAGGCUCAAAAACCAGAAGAAUUACCCGAGAAAAUUCUUUGCUGUUUGAGAUUAAACAAGAUUGACUUUGUCAAUCAAGGUCAAAUACCCACAUUAGUCGCAGAUGAUCACAAUUCCAAUUCCUCUUGAAAUCAUUCUUCCUUCUUUUCUUUGGUAAAAUGUUCCUGCCCACUGUAAGUACACAGCUGCAAUCCCAGUAAAAAAAAAGGUGAAUUUUUGCUUAAACCGAGUUAGAAAAGUAACAAAAGGUAAAAACUUUUCAUUGUUUCUUCAAUGUCAAUUUUGAAUGGUUAACGAUACGGGUUCAUUGUAAUGUAAGUUGUUGUACAUAUUGAUGUAUCGAUUGUUAUUGGUUUUGUAAAUACAUGAUCAUUUUCAUUUUAUAAACGAUUUUUUUUAGUUUCAUUUUGUAUUCUGGUAUUUACCUCCAUCAAAAUAUGAACGUUUGACUUUGUUGAACCUGGUCAAUCAUUAUCAGAUUCGUUCGUGGGAACCGAAGCCUGUUACAAAAUAAAAAUAGGAAUAAAUCAUUAUUAAAUCAUAAAAGUUAAAAGUUAAAAAGUUCUAAUAACAAUCAAGACCAAAAUAUCCCCACACUAAGAGCCAAAUCUGUCAUCAAGUUCUUUUGAAAGAUCUCCAUCAGACAUGAAAAACUUUAGCAAUUGUGCCCUUGAAGGAUCCUUUAUGAUGCUGUCUAUGAUAUCAACAGCUUUGGAGACUCCACAUUCGUGUGUGUCUAUGCACACACAAACACCAUCUAGGAAGUAGGACGACGUUAGCUCAAUGGUAAAUUAAUUAAU
rnacentral:lncRNA from 1 species